rnacentral:rRNA from 1 species
GCUUUACACAUGCAAGUCGAGCGGCAGCGCGGUCUUCGGACUGGCGGCGAGCGGCGAACGGGUGAGUAAUACAUCGGAACAUGCCCAGUCGUGGGGGAUAACACUUCGAAAGAAGUGCUAAUACCGCAUACGUCCUGAGGGAGAAAGCGGGGGAUCGCAAGACCUCGCGCGAUUGGAGUGGCCGAUGUCAGAUUAGCUAGUUGGUGGGGUAAAGGCCUACCAAGGCAACGAUCUGUAGCUGGUCUGAGAGGAUGAUCAGCCACACUGGGACUGAGACACGGCCCAGACUCCUACGGGAGGCAGCAGUGGGGAAUUUUGGACAAUGGGGGCAACCCUGAUCCAGCCAUUCCGCGUGAGUGAAGAAGGCCUUCGGGUUGUAAAGCUCUUUCGGCAGGAACGAAACGGCGAGCUCUAACAUAGCUCGCUAAUGACGGUACCUGAAGAAGAAGCACCGGCUAACUACGUGCCAGCAGCCGCGGUAAUACGUAGGGUGCGAGCGUUAAUCGGAAUUACUGGGCG